rnacentral:rRNA from 1 species
UACGUAGGGGGCUAGCGUUGUCCGGAAUCAUUGGGCGUAAAGCGCGCGUAGGCGGCCCGGUAAGUCCGCUGUGAAAGUCAAAGGCUCAACCUUUGAAUGUCAGCGGAUACUGCCGGGCUAGAGUCCGGAAGAGGCGAGUGGAAUUCCUGGUGUGGCGGUGGAAUGCGCAGAUAUCAGGAGGAACACCAACGGCGAAGGCAGCUCGCUGGGACGGUACUGACGCUGAGGCGCGAAAGCGUGGGGAGCGAACAGGAUUAGAUACCCGUGUAGU